GUAGCGAUACGCUGAUGGCGACCGGCGCACGGGUGCGUAACGCGUAUGCAACCUGUCCGGCGCAGGGGGGUAGCCCGUCGAAAGGCGGGGUAAUCCCGCAUGAACCGGUAUUCCCGCAUGGGGGUGCCGGCAAAGUGGAGACGCGGGGCCGGAGGGGCAUGCGUGCCAUUAGCUGGCUGGAGGGGUAACGGCCCACCAGGGCGAUGAUGGCUAGGGGGUCUGAGAGGAUGGUCCCCCACACUGGUACUGAGACACGGACCAGACUCCUACGGGAGGCAGCAGUGAGGAAUAUUGGUCAAUGGGCGGAAGCCUGAACCAGCCAUGCCGCGUGCAGGAAGGAGGCCCUACGGGUUGUAAACUGCUUUUACCCGGGAAGAAACCGCCCCCUGUGGGGGGCGUUGCCGGUACCGGGGGAAAAAGGAUCGGCUAACUCCGUGCCAGCAGCCGCGGUAAUACGGAGGAUCCGGGCGUUAUCCGGAAUUACUGGGUUUAAAGGGUGCGUAGGCGGGGCUUUAUGCCGGCGGUGAAAUGCAGCGGCUCAACCGCUGGAAUGCCGUUGGGACUGGGGCUCUUGGAUACGGUCGGGGCGGGUGGAACUCGUGGUGUAGCGGUGAAAUGCAUAGAUAUCACGAGGAACGCCGGUAGCGAAGGCAGCUCGCCGGGCCGGUAUUGACGCUGAGGCACGAAAGCGUGGGGAUCGAACAGGAUUAGAUACCCUGGUAGUCCACGCCGUAAACGAUGAUGGCUGGGUGUUGGCGAUAGACGGUCAGCGCCUG
rnacentral:rRNA from 1 species